CCGCUGUUAGUGGGACUAGUCAUCGUGGGCGGGUUUGCGACCCACCCGGCUUAUGCACAGGAAGAAGAGGCCGGUUCGGUCGCCGAAGCCGUGGA
rnacentral:tRNA from 1 species